ensembl:lncRNA
AAAUAGCAGUUCACCCUAAAGACAUAAACGAGACACCAACAUGAAACAAGUACUUCCCAGCAUGGAAGUAGAAAAGUGGACCUACUGGAUCUACAAGAAAAUGGGUGGAGAUGCAUCAAGAGAGCGAGCGGAUGAAGCUGAAAGAGACCUUCAGGAUACUAUGAAGCAACACAGAAGAUGGAGGAACAUCAACGACGGGAGCAAGAGAAGCAGAGACAAAAAAUUAUUGAACACAAUAGAAAGCAAGAGAAAGCAGAAAGGAUAAGGAUUCAUCAAGAAAAGAAUAAUUCCAGCAGUCCUAAAACUGUAGGAUGAAGAGACAAUGGUUUAAAUGUUUGAUUAUCGACAAAAAGAUUUGAUGGAUACAGUACACAGUUAUUGUAAAAUAAAUAUUAACAAAUUACUGCAGAACCGUGGCCUUUCCGAGGGGCAUGAGCUGAAACUGAAAAAGUGCGUGGAGUUGUCGGCUCAGACGGACGUAUGAUGUGUCAGAGCGAUUAGCCUUCAGCAUUUGGUCAGCCAGAAAGCCACUGACAACUGAAAAAAGACCAGCAAGUAUUAAGGCCACAGAACCCUCCUCCCAUUCAAAAAGAACAGCAGAAGACUGUCAGACAAAGAUAACAUUGAGUCAUGUCUGAUAGUGAGACCAUUGAGCUAGCCGCUCUGGGCCGGCCGUUCGAACUGGGGAUGCUGUAUGACUGCCGCAGGGAUCUUCUCAUCCCAGUCAUUAGUAUUGUUUUCCAUUCGUGUUUGGUUUGUUUGUUGUGUAUUAAAACCCACAAACGAGAUUACUGCCUGCGCCUGGUUACUAACCAACACGACACCAACAGGAGUGUUACAGAUGGAGGGUUGUCCAUUAUGGUUAACUCUCGCUGGGCACGGAUGUUGCAGUUCUUGCUAUGCACUGUUCAGCAGACCUGGAGCUACUGACAGUAAAGGUACAACACUUCUACCUCCCGUGGGAAUUCAGCUCCCAUAUUAUCACUGCAGUCUACAUACCCUCACUGGCGGAUAAAACAUGUGUGCUGGAAGAUAUGGAGUAAUAAACAGUCUAGAGGAUGCACACCCUGAGGCAGUUUUCAUUGUUGAUGGUGACAUUAACAGGGCAAAUAUGAGGAACUUUUUACCAAAAUACCACCAGCACAUUAACUUCCUGAUCAGACUCUUGACCAUUGUUAUUCACAAAGACGAAAUGGUUACAAACCUCCCCCGCCCAGCGUUUGGUAAGGCAGAUCAUACAUUGAUUUUGCUCCUCCCAUCCUACAGACAACGGCAAAAACAGGAUAAAACGUUUUUUCAGACAGUUCAAUGCUGGAAUGAGGGAUCCAUUACAGCUGUACAGGACUGCUUUGAAACAACAAAUUAGCAGUUGUUCUGUGAUGCAGCCAAUGGGAACAUUGAUGAAUACACAGACUCUGUCACUGCAUGUAUCUCCAAGUGCAUCGAUGAUGUCAUCCCGAGGGUCAAUGUCAGGACUUUCCCCAACUAAAAGCCCUGGGUUGAUGGUAAUGUCUGUGCUAUGCUCAGAGCAUGGUCUCCUGCCUAUAGCUCCGGGAACCUGGAGGCUCUGAGGAGAUCCAGAUAUGACCUACAGAAGGCCAUCAGAGAUAUGAAAAGAGACUACAGGGAUAGGUUGGAGUCUACCUACCACAGCCCGGAC